rnacentral:rRNA from 1 species
UCGGGGACAUUGGUGACAGGUGGUGCAUGGUUGUCGUCAGCUCGUGUCGUGAGAUGUUGGGUUAAGUCCCGCAACGAGCGCAACCCUUGUCUUUAGUUGCCAUCAUUAAGUUGGGCACUCUAGGGAGACUGCCAGGGAUAACCUGGAGGAAGGUGGGGAUGACGUCAAAUCAUCAUGCCCCUUAUGCUUAGGGCUACACACGUGCUACAAUGGGUAGUACAGAGGGUUGCCAAGCCGUAAGGUGGAGCUAA